ensembl:lncRNA
GCUGAAUACAACAGGUGUAGUAGACCUGACAGCGAAAUGCUGAAUACAACAGCCCUUAACCAACAAUGCAGUUCAAGCAAGUUAAGAAAAUAUUUUCCAAAUAAACUAAAGUAAAUAAUAAGAAAAAGUAACACAAUAAAAUAACAACAACGAGACAAUAUACAGUGGUUACUGGUACCGAGUCAAUGUGCGGGGUUACAGGUUAGCCCGAGGUCAUUUGUACAUAUAGGUAGGGGUAAAGGGACUAUGCGUAGAUAAACAACAGAGCUAUCUGAAUUUAAACUGUAUUACAUAGACUUUUAAUGUGUCAUAAAUCAUGUGUUUUGACUGGAUCUGUCUUUAAAUAGUAUACUGUAAUGAACUCUGAGUCCCAGCAGAAUCCAAUAUAGUUUGAGUUAAAAAUUGUAAUUAUUUUGCUGCAUUCAUGACAUGUCGGAACUAGGAAACUCUGACAUUUUCGACUUGGAAACUCGUAUCUCGGAAUACGACUUUCCCGAAGUGGAUCCAUUGUUCGCACCACCCAGGACGUUGGAUCUAAUCCCAGAGGCCGACCCAAAACAACGUCGCCGCAGAAGAGGUAGACAGAGUGGCCUCCUGGUCAGACUUCGAAGACGUGCACCUCACCCACCGCUUCCGAGUAUAUUACUCACCAACUGGUAGCUUCAUUAAAUAGUCCCUGCAAAACACCAGUCUCAACGUCAACAGUGAAGAGGUGACUCUGGGAUGCUGGCCUUCUAGACAGAGUUGCAAAGAUAAAGCCACAUCUCAGACUGGACAAUAAAAAAUAUUAAGAUUAAGAUGGACAAAAGAACACAGACACUGGACAGAGGAACUCUGCCUAGAAGGCCAGCAUCCCGGAGUCGCCUCUUCACUGUUGACGUUGAGACUGGACAGAGGAACUCUGCCUAGAAGGCCAGCAUCCCGGAGUCGCCUCUUCACUGUUGACGUUGAGACGGGUGUUUUGCGGGUACUAUUUAAUGAAGCUAACAUUUGAGGACUUGUGAGGCGUCUGUUUCUCAAACUAGACAGUCUAAUGUACUUGUCCUCUUGCUCAGUUGUGCACCGGGGCCUCCCACUCCUCUUUCUAAUUAUAGUUAGGGCUAGUUUGCUCUGUUCUGUGAAGAGAGUAGUACACAGCGUUGUACGAGAUUUUCAGUUUCUUGGCAAUUUCUGGCAUGGAAUAGCCUUCAUUUCUCAGAACAAGAAUAGACUGACGAGUUUCAGAAGAAAGGUCUUUGUUCCUGGCCAUUUUGAGCCGGUAAUCAAACCCACAAAUGCUGAUGCUCCAGAUACUCAACUAGUCUAAAGAAGGUCAGUUUUGUUGCUUCUUUAAUCAGGACAACAGUUGUCAGCUGAGCUAACAUAAUUGCAAAAGGGUUUUCUAAUGAUCAAUUAGCCUUUUUAAAAUGAUCAACUUGGAUUAGCUAACACAAUGUGCCAUUGGAACACAGGAGUGAUGGUUGCUGAUAAUGGGCCUCUGAACGCCUAUGUAGAUAUUCCAUUCAAAAUCAGCCAUUUCCAGCUACAAUAGUCAUUUACAACACUAACAAUGUGUACACUCUAUUUCUGAUCAAUUUGAUGUUAUUUUAAUGGUCCAAAAAAUAUGCUUUUCUUUCAAAAACAAGAACAUUUUUAAGUGACCUCAAACUUUUGAACGACAGUGUAUGUAUAUACUGUAUUUUAUACCAUAUACUGCAUCUUGCCUGUGCCGCUCAGUCAUCGCUCAUCCAUAUAUUUAUAUGUACAUAUUCUUAUUCAUUCCUUUAACCUUGUGUGUAUUAGGUAGUUGUUGUGGAAUUGUUAGAUUACUUGUUAGAUAUUACUGCGCUGUCGGAACUAGAAGCACAAGCAUUUCGCUACACUCGCAUUAAAAUCUGCUAAUCAUGUGUAUGUGACCAAUACAAUUUGUAUUGAUGAUUUUAUUUGAAAGAUGAUACCUGAGUUUCUCACUUGAAAAUGAUCCGAAUUAACCAAUUGGAAGCUCUUUGCAAAUAACUUACAUUCAUUUUAAUGGGAAAUGUAGGACAUCUUAAUUGGGCAUGGGACACAAGCUACGGCUUGAUCACCCUUUAGCCGGCCACCUUUGAUGAGUGUGUUUAGUGAUUAAAGGCCGAAACACCCACUGAUUCGAAGGCACACUACUGAGGAUGUGUCCCAAAAUGUACAUCUUAACCCAGUCUAAGAAAUAAACCUCCCAUGCCACUCUGUCAACAUCACGGCAAAUCUCAUGUGAGUGCAUACCAUCUAUUGGCACAAUGGACAGUUUUUAACAUCUCAUCCCGUGUUUUAUGAUUCUGAUUCUAGUUCCCCCCCGUUGUCAUGAAUGCAGGAUCCUGUCUAUCCAUGAAGAAACAGUUGACAUACUAUAAGGGUACAAGUCCCAUGUUGAAACCAUUGCUUUACUUUACCAAGAGUACCUGGUCCUUGAUGUUGAUACUAUACACCAUGUACUGUAGGCUACGGUAUGCUAUGUACUGUAGGCUACGGUAUGUUAUGUAGGCUAUGAUAUGUACUGUAGACUACGAUAUGUACUGUAGGCUACGAUAUGUACUGUAAGGCUACGGUAUGUUAUGUACUGUAGGCUAUGGUAUGUUAUGUACUGUAGGCUACGGUUUGUUAUGUAGCCUACGAUAUGUACUGUGGGCUACGGUUUGUUAUGUAGCCUACGAUAUGUACUGUGGGCUACGUUAUGAUAUGUAGAUUACGAUAUGUACUGUAGGCUACGGUUUGUUAUGUAGCCUACGAUAUGUACUGUGGGCUACGGUUUGUUAUGUAGCCUACGAUAUGUACUGUGGGCUACGUUAUGAUAUGUAGACUACGAUAUGUACUGUAGGCUACGGUAUGUUAUGUACUGUAGGCUACGGUAUGUUAUGUACUGUAGGCUACGGUAUGUUAUGUACUGUAGGCUACGGUAUGUUAUGUACUGUAAGCUACGGUAUGUUAUGUACUGUAAGCUACGGUAUGUUAUGUACUGUAGGCUACGGUAUGUUAUGUACUGUAGGCUACGGUAUGUUAUGUACUGUAGGCUACUGUAUGGUAUGUACUGUAGGCUACUGUAUGGUAUGUACUGUAGGCUACGGUAUGUUAUGUACUGUAGGCUACUGUAUGUUAUGUACUGUAGGCUACUGUAUGUUAUGUACUGUAGGCUACGGUAUUUUAUGUACUGUAGGCUAUGGUAUGGUAUGUACUGUAGGCUACUGUAUGGUAUGUUAUGUAGGCUACGGUAUGUUAUGUAGGCUACUGUAUGGUAUGAUAUGUACUGUAGGCUACUGUUUGUUAUGUAGGCUACGGUUUGUUAUGUACUGUAGGCUACUGUUUGUUAUGUAGGCUACGGUUUGUUAUGUACUGUAGGCUACGGUAUGUUAUGUAGACUACGGUAUGUUAUGUAGGCUACGGUAUGUUAUGAUAUGUACUGUAGGCUACUGUUUGUUAUGUAGGCUACGGUUUGUUAUGUACUGUAGGCUACGGUAUGUUAUGUAGACUACGGUAUGUUAUGUAGGCUACGGUAUGUUAUGUACUGUAGGCUACGGUAUGUUAUGUAGACUACGGUAUGUUAUGUACUGUAGGCUACGGUAUGUUAUGUAGGCUACGGUAUGAGGCAUAAAGAUACUGAACUGAACAUCAUUCCACGAAACCAAUAUGCAACAUGAAGUUAUUAACAACUAUGGGUAUAGAUAGAUAAAGCAGAUUAACAGGAAGUAAUACACAAUGUGCUCUUCUUAAAUGGACAGGAAUGUUAUGAAUGUUUCAGAUUUAUACUGUUGAUUAGAUGGGCUUUGAGAAAUACAUCUCAUGAACUGAAUAAAUAUUGGUAUUUUAUUAGGAUCCCCAUUAGCUGUUGUGAAAGCAGUAGUUACUCUACAUGGGGUCCACAUGAAACAUGAGAUGAUACAGACUUUUUUUGAAACCAGGUUUGCUGUUCAUUUGAGCAAUAUGAGAUGGAAGGGAGUUUGAUGUAAUAACAGCUAUAUAUAAUACUGUAUGUGUUCUGGAUUUGGGGUAUUGUGAAAAGCAGGUAGCCCUGUUUGAUAAGAAUACAUGUGUUAGUCAUGUUCUAUGUCUAUUUUGAGUUAAAAGAUAUGUCUAGGUAAUAAAAGUUUAACCUUGUCUAAAAUAAAACCAGAAUCGUUUUCAAUAAUUGACAGACAUCGUGGCUGAGUAACAGGUAGCCUGAACAGCCG